rnacentral:lncRNA from 1 species
UCAGGCAGGGGGAAAGUAACAAUAAAUAGAAGCUUGUCGAUCGGGCGUCUGAGGCGACACCUCGGAAAGAUAAGUAGUACAAGCCAUAGUCGGGCGUCUGGGCGACACCGCAUAAAGGGGCUUGUGAAAAUAAAUAUUAUUAUACGUGCCAUAGUCGGGCGUCUAAGAGACACCACAUACAGGGCUUAUAUGAAGGUAAAACAAAUUUCCAUAGUCGGGUGUCUGAGUGGCACCACAUAGAGGGCAUAAUAAAAAUAAAUACUUGCCACAGUCGGGCGUCUCAGCGACACCACAUACAAGGCUUAAUAAAAAUAAUACUCACCACAGUCGGGCGUCUUAGCGGCACCAUAGAAAGGGCUUAUAUGAAAUAUUUAUAAUAGCGAUGAACAUCCAUGAGAUAGAACCGUCCUAGGGAUAUUCAACAAUCAUAAUCAAAAGGGUUAGUCCACAGUCAAAUAAUAUUUAUGAUCAUCCACCAUAUACAAAGA